rnacentral:tRNA from 1 species
GGGGCCUUAGCUCAGCUGGGAGAGCGCCUGCCUUGCACGCAGGAGGUCAGGGGUUCGAGCCCCCUAGGCUCCACCA